GAGUGGCGAACGGGUGAGUAACACGUGGGUAACCUGCCCAUAAGAGGGGGGAUAACAUCCGGAAACGGGUGCUAAUACCGCAUAGGUGAACGGAGCGCAUGCUCUGUUCAUUAAAGAUGGCCUUGUGCUAUCGCUUAUGGAUGGACCCGCGGCGUAUUAGCUAGUUGGUGAGGUAAUGGCUCACCAAGGCGAUGAUACGUAGCCGACCUGAGAGGGUGAUCGGCCACACUGGGACUGAGACACGGCCCAGACUCCUACGGGAGGCAGCAGUAGGGAAUCUUCCACAAUGGGCGAAAGCCUGAUGGAGCAAUACCGCGUGAGUGAAGAAGGUCUUCGGAUCGUAAAGCUCUGUUGUUAGAGAAGAACACGCAGAACAGUAACUGGUUCUGCGCUGACGGUAUCUAACCAGAAAGUCACGGCUAACUACGUGCCAGCAGCCGCGGUAAUACGUAGGUGACAAGCGUUGUCCGGAUUUAUUGGGCGUAAAGCGAGCGCAGGCGGUCUUUUAAGUCUGAUGUGAAAGCCCACGGCUCAACCGUGGAUGGUCAUUGGAAACUGGA
rnacentral:rRNA from 1 species